rnacentral:rRNA from 1 species
GAGGAGGCGACAGUGGCGACCGGGUGAGUAACACGUAGCUGACCUACCCCUGGCAGGGGGAUAACCCCGGGAAACCGGGGCUAAGACCGCGUWAGCUCGUCGGGAUUAGYGGCCUGAUGAGGAAAGUCCUUUCGGGGAUGGCGAGGGCGGGGGCUGCGGGCCAUCAGCYGGCUGGUGGGGUAACGGCCUACCAGGGCGACGACGGCAAGGGGGCCUGAGAGGGUGACCCCCCACACUGGAACUGACACACGGUCCAGACUCCUACGGGAGGCAGCAGUAAGGGAYAUUGGUCAAUGGGCGCAAGCCUGAACCAGCAACGCCGCGUGCGGGAAGACGGUUUUCGGACUGUAAACCGCUUUUCUCGGGGACGAUGAUGACGGUACCCGAGGAAGAAGUCUCGGCUAACUACGUGCCAGCAGCCGCGGUAAAACGUAGGAGGCGAGCGUUAUCCGGAUUUACUGGGCGUAAAGCGCGUGCAGGCGGAGCGAUAAGUCGUGCGUGAAAGCUCCCAGGCUUAACCGGGAGAGGACGUGCGAGACUGUGGUUCUGGGAGGCAGGC